rnacentral:rRNA from 1 species
UACAGAGGGUGCUAGCGUUGUUCGGAAUCAUUGGGCGUAAAGGGCGUGUAGGCGGUUUGUUAAGUCAUGUGUGAAAUCCCUCGGCUCAACCGGGGAACGACGCAUGAAACUGGCAAGCUAGAGUACCAAAGAGGGGGGUGGAAUUCCCGGUGUAGCGGUGAAAUUCGUAGAUAUUCGCAAGAACACCAGUGGUGAAGGCGGCUCACUGGCCCAUUACUGACGCUGAGGCACGAAAGCGUGGGGAGCAAACAGG